UCUCUUGCUGGGCAAGUUGCGUGAAAGAUGGGAGGGCAGCACUGUUGCUAUUAUGGAUACUAACUUAUCAGGACAAUAAGGUCAAAGUUCUUGUUAAAGCUAAUUAGAUUCUACUUGGCAAAAAUUGGAGGUAGCCACAAAGAAAAUCAGGCGUUUGGGCUGUUUUAACUUCGAUUACGGCUGGUUGCAGUGGUUGCAGUGGCUCACGCUUGUAAUCUCGAAACUUUCGGAGGCCGAGGCUGGCGGAUCACGAGGUCAGGAGUUCGAGACCAUCCUGGCCAACAUGGUGAACCCCCUCUUUACUAAAAAUACAA
rnacentral:lncRNA from 1 species